UGCGACCUCUAUGGACUUCGGUCCAUGGCGGACGGCUCAGUAACACGUGGCUAACCUACCCUCGGGUGGGGGAUAACCUCGGGAAACUGAGGAUAAUACCCCAUAGGAGAAGAGGUCUGGAAUGAUCCUUCUCUGAAAACAUAUGUGCCCGAGGAUGGGGCUGCGUCUGAUUAGGUAGUUGGUGGGGUAACGGCCCACCAAGCCUACGAUCAGUACGGGCCUUGAGAGAGGCAGCCCGGAGAUGGGGACUGAGACACGGCCCCAGGCCCUACGGGGCGCAGCAGGCGCGAAACCUCCGCAAUGCACGAAAGUGCGACGGGGGGACCCCAAGUGCUUACGCACUGCGUAGGCUUUUCUAAAGUGUAAAAAGCUUUAGGAAUAAGGGCUGGGCAAGUCCGGUGCCAGCAGCCGCGGUAACACCGGCGGCCCGAGUGGUGACCACUUUUAUUGGGCCUAAAGCGUCCGUAGCCGGUCCAGUAAGUCCCUGUUUAAAUCCUACGGCUUAACCGUAGGGCUGGCAGGGAUACUGCUGGACUUGGGACCGGGAGAGGGCGAGGGUACUUCAGGGGUAGCGGUGAAAUGUGUUGAUCCCUGGAGGACCACCUAUGGCGAAGGCACUCGCCUGGAACGGGUCCGACGGUGAGGGACGAAAGCCAGGGGCGCGAACCGGAUUAGAUACCCGGGUAGUCCUGGCCGUAAACUCUGCGGACUAGGUGUUAGGUAGGCCCCGUGCCUAUCUAGUGCCGAAGGGAAGCCGUUAAGUCCGCCGCCUGGGGAGUACGGCCGCAAGACUGAAACUUAAAGGAAUGGCGGGGAGCA
rnacentral:rRNA from 1 species